AUUGAACGCUGGCGGCAGGCCUAACACAUGCAAGUCGAGCGAGCGGCGGACGGGUGAGUAAUGUCUGGGAAACUGCCUGCUGGAGGGGGAUAACUACUGGAAACGGUAGCUAAUACCGCAUACCAUCAGAUGUGCCCAGAUGGGAUUAGCUAGUAGGUGGGGUAACGGCUCACCUAGGCGACGCACCCUAGCUGGUCUGAGAGGAUGACCAGCCACGCUGGAACUGGGACACGGCCCAGACUCUUACGGGAGCAGGCAGUGGGGAAUAUUGCACCAUGGGCGCAAGCCUGAUGCAGCCAUGCCGCGGGUGGGAAGAAGGCCUUCGGGUUGUAAAGCACUUUCAGCGGGGAGGCGUUACCCGAAGAAGAAGCACCGGCUAACUACGUGCCAGCCGCCGCGGUAAUAC
rnacentral:rRNA from 1 species